ACGGAGUUAGCCGGAGCUUUUCUAUCGCUACCGUCAUUAUCUUCACGAUUAAAAGAGCUUUACAACCCUAGGGCCUUCUUCACUCACGCGGCAUGGCUGGAUCAGGCUUUCGCCCAUUGUCCAAUAUUCCUUA
rnacentral:rRNA from 1 species